CAGCAGCCACGGUAAUACAGAGGGUGCGAGCGUUAAUCGGAUUUACUGGGCGUAAAGCGUGCGUAGGCGGCUUUUUAAGUCGGAUGUGAAAUCCCUGAGCUUAACUUAGGAAUUGCAUUCGAUACUGGUAAGCUAGAGUAUGGGAGAGGAUGGUAGAAUUCCAGGUGUAGCGGUGAAAUGCGUAGAGAUCUGGAGGAAUACCGAUGGCGAAGGCAGCCAUCUGGCCUAAUACUGACGCUGAGGUACGAAAGCAUGGGGAGCAAACAGGAUUAGAUACCCCGGUAGUCCCUGUCUCUUAUAC
rnacentral:rRNA from 1 species